GAUUGUUCCUGGAACUGAAAAUAUCAGCUGGAUUCAGGAGAUCAUUGGAACGCUAACGAGCUGUAUCUGAUACUCAGUGUGUAAAAGAGAAAAGCCAACAUGGCUGAGAGGGAAUUUUCCUAAGCCACCUUUCACUCAAGAACCUGCAGCAUGAAAAGUGAACAAAUUGCUUGACCAAUCCUGCCCUCUUCAGGCCUUUGCAUCCCUCUGGCUCUGCCAGAUUUCUUCUUUUCCACACAGGCAAAUUAAACGUGCUGCUGACAUAACAGCACUUGGAUAUUA